rfam:Candidatus Schekmanbacteria bacterium RBG_13_48_7 RBG_13_scaffold_10844, whole genome shotgun sequence.
CCCACCAAUAAAUUGGUGGGCUACUAUCAAUUGUCCCUUCGGGACA